UGGACAGAUUAUUGUAUUCGACUGUAUUCACGACGUGAAAUAGGGGGUUACACUGUUUUUAAACGGAAAGUGAAUCAAUUAACAUAAUAGACUCCU
rnacentral:pre_miRNA from 1 species